ensembl:lncRNA
CACAGAAAGAGAGAGAAGGUGGGGGGGGGCAGGAGUUGUGUAAAAGGGGCUGAAGUCCUGCGCUGUCUUCUCCGCUGCUGCUGCUGCUGUGUGCUCCACACACUUAAACGCUGUCAAACGUUUCCGUAGCGCGGACGCAAAUUUUUUCCACAGACAGCGACACACCCAGGCGGACUCCGCCGAGCAGUGGGCGAGGCAGCCUGAACUCCGCCGGACCGUUCAAGACGUGCCGGAGCGGGCAGGAGCGACCCGGCUGCUGUUGGUGGUCAAGGAGGCUGCUCUCUGAAUGCGAGCAUCCUGUAACUAAAAGAAUGUCUAAGAAUUUCUCGCUGGCACUGUAUAUCGUGCAGAGGCAGCUGAGCCGCUGAUCCGCUUGUCCAUCCUGGUGAUCUGACGCAUGAUCUUGUGUGCAUCUCCCCGGGCACUUUUUUUCCUUUGCAUAUCAGCUCACUUCACCCACUUACUCACAGCUGAUUGCACACACUGUGAUUCGACUGCACCCACUUACUGUACGUGUGUGAC